AUUGAACGCUGGCGGCAGGCCUAACACAUGCAAGUCGAACGGUAACAGGAAGAAGCUUGCUUCUUUGCUGACGAGUGGCGGACGGGUGAGUAAUGUCUGGGAAACUGCCUGAUGGAGGGGGAUAACUACUGGAAACGGUAGCUAAUACCGCAUAACGUCGCAAGACCAAAGAGGGGGACCUUCGGGCCUCUUGCCAUCGGAUGUGCCCAGAUGGGAUUAGCUAGUAGGUGGGGUAACGGCUCACCUAGGCGACGAUCCCUAGCUGGUCUGAGAGGAUGACCAGCCACACUGGAACUGAGACACGGUCCAGACUCCUACGGGAGGCAGCAGUGGGGAAUAUUGCACAAUGGGCGCAAGCCUGAUGCAGCCAUGCCGCGUGUAUGAAGAAGGCCUUCGGGUUGUAAAGUACUUUCAGCGGGGAGGAAGGGAGUAAAGUUAAUACCUUUGCUCAUUGACGUACCCGCA
rnacentral:rRNA from 1 species